rfam:Vibrio sp. JCM 19231 DNA, contig00197.
GCAAUCUCAGAGAGGCUCUGGGGGAUACGCGUGAUAACCAUUCUAAGCUGAUUGUGAUAUCACGUAGGGUAGGUACCAAACACUCCUUGUUUGGUAGACGGGAAGAUAUCGCCAGUGAUGGCAUGCAUAUAGGCACCCAACA